AAAGACCAAAAUUAAUUUACCUUCAUGUAGAUAUGAAUCCACAAAAACAAAUUGCGUAAAAUCCCAGUCAAGUUAGGAGGAUUUUAUCCUCCAUCUUGCAUUCUCCUUCUUUUCCUCAAAUAAAAUCUCCUUUUCUUAACUGUAAAAAGUCAUUGCACCAAAACGGCAGUUUGCUCUGAUCUUCUAUAAACUUUGAAGUUCCUCUCAUCCAUAGACCCCAAAUAAUAGUUGAACUUUCAACCAUGCAACUAUAUCACCCAAGUGUACCUGACAUUCCUAAAAACCAUAUACGAUGGAACACUCAACACUAAAUUAAUACAGAGAUAUUUGCUCCAUCUCUUGAGCUGGCAAAAGUUAUGGAGAUGAUUGAUUGAGUUGCCCUUGGACAAUGCUGGCUCAAAAUUAGCUUUUCUUCUAAGCAAAUUCCCAUCUGUCAAGGUGCCGGACAAAGCUUCCAUGAGUGGAUGUUGCCAGUUCCUACUUGCUAAUUGGUCUUCUGCAAAUAGACUAUUACUGUUGAAUUAUACAACAGUCAUAAAAAUGAUUGACUUGAUUACAGAAAAAGUUUUGAACAUUGGUGAUCUUGUAAUACUAUCAGCUACCAUAAAAGUUGGCAACUUCCACCAUAUGCUUUUACGGGAAAAUGUUGUCUGAAAUUGUUUAUACAUCAGGUGGAUCUUAAAAUGUGACAUGUUGAAAUUAAAAAAAGAAAAAGAAAUUUCACAUAAGAAAGAAAAACUUACAUGUUUUUCAAAUGCGGGAAAAUACAACCCUAUUUCUUCUUCCCCUAUGUUCAAAUCUUCGGUAUAGAAAUCACUGCACAAAAAGCUUCCAUUUGGUUUUUACAAAAUAUGGAAUCAUAUUUUGUGAAUGAAGAAUCGACCAUUAUUGGAUCUAUUUCUUGUGUCUGGAGGAUGGUGAGUCGGAGACCGCUUCUUGCUCCUCUCUUUGUUCCAAGUUUUGCAAAAUCUCUCUCUACUGCAAUUAAGGGUGGGCAUAUGCUUAGGGCUGCUGAGGUGUUGGAAAAGGUUGCUAUUGCUCUUUAUAGUGAUGGAGUGACUAGAAAAUAGGAGGUGCUACUGCUGCUAAGUAUUCUCUCUCUAACUCUCACAAUUCUCCCAAAUUUUCAGCAUUUCAAGGAUAAUAGGGAGGUUUAGAUCAAUAAUAAGAGUCGUUUCAAUUGUUGAUGAUUAUUGGGGAGGCUGUUAUUGGCUGGAAUAGCUGAAGUUGUUCCUCAAUUUGGUUUGCCUUGUCUUUCUCAUUAUGUGCAUGCAAGGUGUUAUUUUGAGCUUGGGGAAGAAGGCACAAUGCAUGGAUUUUC
rnacentral:lncRNA from 1 species